ensembl:lncRNA LINC02482 long intergenic non-protein coding RNA 2482
GUUCUUGGUCUCACUGACUUCAAGAAUGAAGCCACGGACCCUCGCGGCUGGAGUGCAGUGACAUGAUCUCAGCUCAUUGCAGCCUCAACCUCCCAGGCACAAGCGAUCCUCCUGCCUCAGCCUCCUGAGUAGCUGGGAUACAGACGGUGACUCAAUCUGCCCAGGCUGGAGUGCGGUGACCUGAACACAGCUCACUGAAGCCUUGACUUCCCGGGUUCAAGCAAUUCUCCUGCCUCAGCCUCCCAAGGAGCUGGGACCACAGGUGUGUGCCACCACAUCUGGCUAAUUGUUUUUUAUUUUUGGUAGAGAGAGGUCUCACUAUGUUGUCAAGGCUGAUGUCGAACUCCUGAGCUCAAGUGAUCCUCCUGCCUCAGCCUCCCAAAGUGCUGGGAUUACAGGCAUGAGACACAGCGCCCGACUCACACACUUUUAAAUUUUGUUCUCCGCCUGAUAUUUAGCUUUACGGCAUAGAAGAAAUGGUUUAACCCCCUUAGCGACAUGGCAGCUCUAUGCCCUUUAUUGUUCUACUGCUAAAGGUCUUUGGGUUUCUGUUUCUCCUUUUUUUUUUCUUUUUAAGAAAUGAAAUUAUUUUCUUUUACCUACGUAAAAAGAGUAUACCUUGGCGGAGAGCGUGGCACGGCUCUACGCACCCCUCCCUGCCUGCCCAGCGCCUUCCACGCGGGAAACUCCCCGCCGGUCUCAGCUCCACCCCGCGCUGCCCCGCCGGCUCGGCAGCACUCGCAGCCGGCGAUCCGCUGGUGCAGCUCCACGAUCCGCCUGCCCAUCCGCGCCGCCUCCGCGGCCUUCCUCUCCGCCUCGGCGCACAGCCUGGCCACCAGAUCCUCCGCCUCCGCGCGCGGGCUGGGUGCUGGGGCCCGGGCGCCCUGCUCCUCCGCCUCCAUCUCGCUCUUGAUGGCGUCGAGCAGGCUCUGGAUCUCCAGCAGCUCCCUGCGGGCCCGCUAGUGCGCCCGGGCACGCUCGCACUCCAGGGAGGCCAGGUCCUCGCCGCCCACGCGGGGCGCCGGGCCACCUGGGUCUUUGCGGGCUCUCGCCUGGUCCGUGUCCACGUCAGGCAGGAGAACAGGGUCUGGAGGUAGGGAACUUAAGGCAGAUUCCUGCUGACUUCCUAAAGCUGAAUCAAGGGAAAACACCAAGGUCUGGGGCAGAGAAUCUGAGGCUGAUUAACUCAAACUUCCCAAACCAAAAGGAAAAGCACCAUCUCCCCAUUGGGAGUAGUAAAGCAUCAAAGGCUACUCUCCCUACAAGCCUCCUCCCAGAUGGAAAGGGAGCGUGCCUUGGAGUGGCCAAGAGCCAUGCAGGGACCGUCCCUUCAUCCGCAUAGGGCGCCAGUUCACCCCAGCCUUUAGCCACAAACCAAAACCUUCAUCCACAUAAGAGGUAGCUGGUAAGAACCUCAAAUGAAGUACUUAAAGCCCAGAAAACUUUCUAACUGGCCCUUGAGCUGCUUGCUCGGGCCCGCUCCCACCCUGUGGGUGCUUUCUCGCUUUAAGAAAUUGCUGCUUUCCCUGCUUCUGUUCCUGCGUUUCAUUCCUUUGUUACUUUGUUUGUGCGUUUUGUUCAAUGCUUUGUUCAAAAGGCCAAGGACC